rnacentral:rRNA from 1 species
GAUGAACGCUGGCGGCGUGCCUAAUACAUGCAAGUCGAGCGAACAGAUGAGGAGCUUGCUCCUCUGACGUUAGCGGCGGACGGGUGAGUAACACGUGGAUAACCUACCUAUAAGACUGGGAUAACUUCGGGAAACCGGAGCUAAUACCGGAUAAUAUAUUGAACCGCAUGGUUCAAUAGUGAAAGACGGUUUUGCUGUCACUUAUAGAUGGAUCCGCGCCGCAUUAGCUAGUUGGUAAGGUAACGGCUUACCAAGGCAACGAUGCGUAGCCGACCUGAAAGGGUGAUCGGCCACACUGGAACUGAGACACGGUCCAGACUCCUACGGGAGGCAGCAGUAGGGAAUCUUCCGCAAAGGGCGAAAGCCUGACGGAGCAACGCCGCGUGAGUGAUGAAGGUCUUCGGAUCGUAAAACUCUGUUAUUAGGGAAGAACAAAUGUGUAAGUAACUAUGCACGUCUUGACGGUACCUAAUCAGAAAGCCACGGCUAACUACGUG